rnacentral:tRNA from 7 species
GCCCUCUAGCUUAGUCGGUGGAGUGCAAGACUCUUAACCUUAUGGUCAUGGGUUCAAGCCCCACAGUGGGAG